rnacentral:rRNA from 1 species
AUUGAACGCUGGCGGCAGGCCUAACACAUGCAAGUCGAGCGAGCGGCGAACGGGGGAGUAAUGUAUGGGGACUUCCCGAUAGAGGGGGAUAACUACUGGAAAAGGUAGCUAAUAACGCAUACUAUCGGAUAACCCUUAUGGGAUUAGCUAGUAGGUGAGGUAAUGGCUUACCUAGGCGACGAUGCCUAUCUGGUCUGAGAGGAUGGUCAGCCACACUGGGACUUAGACACGGCCCAGACUCCUACGGCGGCAGCAGUCGGGAAUAUUGCACAAUGGGCGCAAGUCUGGUGCAGCCAGGCCGCGCGUAUGAAGAAGGCCCUAGGGUUGUAAAGUACUGCCAGUCGGUAGGCGUUACCGACAGAAGAAGCACCGGCUAACUCCGUGCCAGCAGCCGCGGUAAUAC